rnacentral:lncRNA from 1 species
AUCAUGGCAAUUGAGUAAUUUUCACAAUCUGGCAUUAAAGCAAUAUGUACACAGAGAAUACAAUAUUUCAUUACACAGGAAUUGUUCAACACAUAGGAGCACAUCUGGUACUGUCCUAACAAUGUCUACAUAAUUUGCCUUAUCUCACUACUACAUAACAUUGUUGAACACGUAGGAGCACAUCUGGUACUGGCCUAACAAUGUCUUCAUUGCUCGAACUUGCCUUCCUACAAGAACAGAACAUUACAUGAAUAGAUCAAUCGAGAAGGAAACAGUAAAACAGGCUGAAAGCAUCACACAUACAAAUAAUAACAGCAUACAUUAAUGUAUAAAAUAAUAAAAAAUAUCUAUAACCAAGGCUAUUUCUAGCCAACCCGUGUGCAUGAAUCAUAAUAGAUCAAGCAAAAGACGUAUAAUCAUCAGCAAACAGCAAAUAUUAGUGAAAGGGGACAAUUUCUAGUACUCAUCAUUUUUGCAAAGUGAGCAAGAACGAUGAUAUUUUCCUACACAUACUUUCUGAUUUUUCCUUAGUCCUAUAGUGAUCUGCUCACUCCAAUUCUAUCUACUCAACCCAUUCACAUGCAACAUGGAUAAUCAACUAGCCUCAUCAUUUGAAGAAUCUAGUCAAAUAAGGAAUUAGAAUGCAACAUGGAUAACUAUGCCCUAUGAAACAGUUCACGUAUCAAGAACCAUCAAAGUAAAUAAGGAACUGGUAUAGAACACCAACUCGAUCACCUUCACAACAAUGAAAUCAUGGAUAAUUCUUAUAUUUAAUUGAAGUUCUCUAAGCUUCUUCCCCCAUUGAAAGCAGUCCACAAAAUAAUUGAGAAGAAGGUCAGUGCCAAAAUUCAAACCAUAUAAUUUCUUGCUAAUCUCAUAUACUGUUAAAGAUGUAUUUUGUUGUAAGAUUUUAGCGCUAGUACACAAGACAUAAAAAGGUACCAAAAAUCCUUAGUGAUCUGAAGCAGCAAACAAAAUUUAAACACAGGCAAUGCAUGCCAUAGUAAUAGCAGCACAAACAGAGAAAUGCAAAAGGCACCUCAUACUAGUAUGGUGAUCUUCGUCGCAAAUUUUAAGCUCUGUUUCAUGUAGAUAAUUUAUUUGGUUUCAGUAAACAACAGGAUGUAGUAUAUAUGAAGGGUUAUUGGUUGCAUAACACCUGAACUAAUCCUCCAUCUAGGGGGGAUUGCAACAGGUUCCUAUAGUACACUAGAUAGGCCAACAUUUUAGACUACUAGUAC